GCGCUAACAGAUGAGCCCAAGUCGGAUUAGCUAGUUGGUAGGGUAAUGGCCUACCAAGGCGACGAUCCGUAACUGGUCUGAGAGGACGACCAGUCACACCGGAACUGAGACACGGUCCGG
rnacentral:rRNA from 1 species